rnacentral:rRNA from 1 species
AGUGAACGCUGGCGGUAGGCCUAACACAUGCCAGUCGAACGGCAGCACAGUAAGAGCUUGCUCUUACGGGUGGCGAGUGGCGGACGGGUGAGGAGUACAUCGGAAUCUACUUUUUCGUGGGGGAUAACGUAGGGAAACUUACGCUAAUACCGCAUACGACCUACGGGUGAAAGCAGGGGAUCUUCGGACCUUGCGCGAUUGAAUGAGCCGAUGUCGGAUUAGCUAGUUGGCGGGGUAAAGGCCCACCAAGGCGACGAUCCGUAGCUGGUCUGAGAGGAUGAUCAGCCACACUGGAACUGAGACACGGUCCAGACUCCUACGGGAGGCAGCAGUGGGGAAUAUUGGACAAUGGGCGCAAGCCUGAUCCAGCCAUACCGCGUGGGUGAAGAAGGCCUUCGGGUUGUAAAGCCCUUGUGCUGGGAAAGAAAAGCAGCAGGUUAAUACCCCGCUGUUCUGACGGUACCCAAAGAAUAAGCACCGGCUAACUUCGUG